UUUAUUGUCUGUUGACACCAUGACGUCCAUAAACAUUUUGACUUUGUUUUUAAUUUUUAUUAUUUUUCUAAUUCAAAUUGCGAGUAUUUGUAGUGCACCACAAGGUUGGAACAUUGGAAUACCGUCACUACUUGGUGUCAAUAGUGCUUUAUUAAAUGUAUCUCUCGGCUAAGAAAUGAAGGUUGUUUUUGGAGAGUUAUGAUAAGAAUAUUCGCAGUUUAAUAAUUAUGAAAUAAAAUUUAAGGACAUAA